rnacentral:lncRNA from 1 species
GCAGAUCCUAUUGAUAAAUGGUGGAAGGAAAGUAAAAUUUACACCAAGAAUUUAGCAAAUACAAGCUGCACACUACUGUCAUGGGUAGAAGCACAAUGGAUUAACUUUAAGAACCAUAGCCCUGCACAUACAGAGUCAUUUGAUGAAGCUGUUAACCACCAUAUACUAACCUAAAUGUUGUUUGUAAUUUUCUUCAAGAACAUAUAUGACUAGACACUAUUAGCUUCGAGAACAUAUUCCAAUUUUUGCCAGAACUGGGCCUGGCAAUUACUCAGUAGGUUCGUAACCAUUUCUUCCUUUGUAUAUUCAACAUAGGUAGUUUAAUUUUCUUGCAGCAAAACUGUAAUUUCUCCAUAAUGCUUCUGCUAUGUUUCUUCAAAAUAAGAAAUAAUUAACAUGGUGAUAUUAGAAUAGAAUUUCACCAUCGAUAUUUGACAGAGUGUUGUUGCAGGAGCAAAAGACAGCCCCGCUUUUAAUUUUUGAAGUGUGUGGUCAUCACUGUGCUUUCGAGAACAGAUAUGCAAAAAAGAAUCACUCGUGUUACACAAAAAUGCCAAAGAGAAGUGGACUUCUUUUUUACUUCUAUUUAUCCUGCCCACAUAUCAUACAUAGCUUACAUUGCUCGGACAUGGUUUGCACAAAACAUGUCAAAUAGCUUUACAUCCAGAAGACCUGAGGAGAAACUGUCGGGAGAUACUUAGACACUACAUAGGAGUUAGUGUGGUGGCGCGUGGUUUGCAGUUCUCCCCUACGAUCAUACUUAAGACCAAAGGUGCUCAUGUGGAGCACACAGCCACGGUCACCAAAGGCGCACUUAAACUCCACUCCCUUGCGUAGCACAACCUCAACAAGGCAAAAGCUGCCGUCGCCCAUAUACGCGAGACUGGCCCUCGCAAAAUCCAGCCGUCUCUCCGGGUCCUUGAGGAACAGCUUCUCCUUGGUCACCUUCCACUCCGGCUCCACGGCACUUGUGCUGCUGCGGGAGGCGACUUCACAGGAGCAGAUGUACCCGUCCUUGUGAAGCCCGACCCAUGCGUCUAGCCCGUUGUCGAAGUAAGCUUGUCCUUGGAAUGGUAGAGCCCAAUCCCCAUGACACCUCCACUUGGAAUUCCUGGUGUCGAAGGAGAAGGUGCCCUUUGGAAGAUGAUGAUAGCGCAGGUCAUGCGCAGACAUGAAUAUGGUGUGUCCGUCCGGGUGCAGCGCAUAAGAGGUGAUUACGUCGUCCAUGGCGAAUGGUGGCGGCGAGGGAACACUUUUCCAGGACCAUCUCAUGGUUGGGCUCGGCCACGGCUCGUCGUUGUCCAUUGGUGCCCACGACAUGGCCUCGAAAGAGUGCUGCUCGUGGACGUGGCGAUGUGUCAACGCGUACAGCAUGCCGCCGGUGGCCACUGUGAAGGUAGUCGUGUCGAUGAUUUGAAUCGGUGGACGGGGACCCAUGGUGAGCCCAGCCGUCUCGGUGUCGAACACGAGGGUGGGAGUGUUUGGAGAGCAUGGGUUGGUGGUGAUGAAGAUGUUGCUGCCCAUGGCGGCGAAGUCCAUGUGAAGACGAUUUACCGGUGCGGCUAACCGGAGAGCAGCAGGGUCAGGGAACCCAUAGUGCAGUUCGGUGGUGGCGUCCUGUAAGGCGUCGACGUCGAUCUUGUGGAUGCUGAAGCCCUUGUGCCAAUCAUCCAACACCAGGUAGAGGUGCUUCUUCGGCACACGACGCGGCCUUUUCCCGAUACGGUCGACGUCGAGGUGCGAGUGCUGACGCUUAGACAUGUUCUUCCCGCACUAACUGGAUCUAAAGAUUGAUUUUUUUUUAUUCUGAUGGCUACGAGGUUGCCAGUACAGGAGAAGAAACAAACGGAAGGGCAAGGAGACGACAACGUGAUCCAGAUCUAACCUGGCAAUGAUGCGUUAGGUCUUGGAAAUCCCUCCGCUUAUUUAUGGAUGGCUAAUCGAACUCCCUGCCGGGCUCGGUUUGCAGACAGGAGCUAGAGCCCGAGUCGGAGCAGAACAACGGAAUGACUAAUCGAACUCCCGACAAUGGGAAUGCCCGACGGAUUGGGGGAGGGGAGCCGAAUCAAGAGUGAAAUCGGGAUCGAAAGGGGAGGGGGAUUCUGGCGAAAAGAUCACCGAGCAAUCGCCACCCAAGAUGCUACAAGACGCUGAGAACUCACCGCAUCCUUGUCGGCGGGAGGCGGCGGGGACCCUGGCGGCUUCACCGGAGUUACCGAGCAGUGGUCGCCGGAGUAGUAGCCCCCAAGCCCGUGGUCCUGGAGUUGCCGGGCCGCCCGUAUGGCUAGAAGGCAGUGGAGACACGCCGCCCCUCCCGUGGUCACCGAAAUGUUGAUGUGGCCGGCGGCGCUACGCCCCUGCUCUGCUUCCCCUCCUUUUCUUUUCUUGCGCGUUUUUUUCUUUUUCUGAGCAACUUUUUGCGCGUCUGCUAUUCCUCUUCACGCGCUUCAAAUUGGGUUCGUCUCUCCAACACCCACGUCCCUUACCCUAUAUAAACGCCGCGAUGAAAAAACAACUUCUAUUACACCUGCGCAGGGAAAAUAGUUCAACGCGCAAGAUGAAAUGGUUUCGUGUGCCUCAUAUUUCG